CACGUAGGGCGCAAGCGUUGUCCGGAAUUAUUGGGCGUAAAGAGCUCGUAGGCGGUCUGUUGCGUCCGCUGUGAAAACUCGGGGCUUAACCCCGAGCCUGCAGUGGAUACGGGCAGACUAGAGGUAGGUAGGGGAGAAUGGAAUUCCCGGUGUGGCGGUGAAAUGCGCAGAUAUCGGGAGGAACACCGGUGGCGAAGGCGGUUCUCUGGGCCUUACCUGACGCUGAGGAGCGAAAGCCAGGGGAGCAAACGGG
rnacentral:rRNA from 1 species